AAUGCCAAGGGUCCAGACAAAGAGUGUCAAGUACCCUGAGGGUUGGGAAUUGAUUCAGCCUACUCUACUCGAACUACAAGCAAAGAUGAGAGAAGUGUACAUCCUUGAUUGUUUUCACGGCUGAAAAUGAUCUGCAUGAUGGUAAAAGAAAAUGUGAGGCUUUGUGGCCUAUUUUUAAGAUAGUACAUCAAAAGAGCCGCUACAUUUUUGACCUUUACCAUCGGAGAAAGGAAAUAUCCAAGGAAUUAUACGAGCUGUGUUUGGAUCAAAGCUAAGCUGACCGUAAUCUUAUCUCAAAGUGGAAGAAGGUUACUCUUACAACUCCAACAGUUGAGACUGCAAUUUUUUAUUAUUUUUAAACUUUGCUUGCUUUGUUUAUGGAACAUAGCAACCACAACUGUGUUUUCGUUCUGGAAAAAGGUAAAUAACUUAGAUAACACUGUUAAAUGA